UCCGGCUUAACGCCGGCAGUCUCCUUAGAGUGCCACGGCUUGACCCGGGGGCAACUAAGGACAGGGGUUGCGCUCGUUGCGGGACUUGACCCAACAUCUCACGACACGAGCUGACGACAGCCAUGCACCACCUGUGAUCCUGCCCGUGAGGGAAACCGUGUUUCCACGGCGAUCAGGAACAUGUCAAACCCAGGUAAGGUUUUUCGCGUUGCAUCGAAUUAAACCACAUCAUCCACCGCUUGUGCGGGUCCCCGUCAAUUCCUUUGAGUUUUAGCCUUGCGGCCGUACUCCCCAGGCGGGGCACUUAAUGCGUUAGCUCCGGCACGGGAGGAGUCGACACCUCCCACACCUAGUGCCCAUCGUUUACGGCGUGGACUAC
rnacentral:misc_RNA from 1 species